rnacentral:rRNA from 1 species
UACGUAGGGUGCGAGCGUUGCCCGGAUUUAUUGGGCGUAAAGGGCGCGUAGGCGGUGAGAUGCGUCCGUUGUGAAAUCGCCCGGCUCAACUGGGCGGGGUCAGCGGAUACGGUCUCACUUGAGCAAGCUAGGGGGCAAUGGAAUUCCCGGUGUAGUGGUGGAAUGCGUAGAUAUCGGGAGGAACACCAGUGGCGAAGGCGGUUGCCUGGGGCUUUGCUGACGCUGAUGCGCGAAAGCUAGGGGAGCAAACAGGG